AGCGAACGCUGGCGGCAGGCUUAACACAUGCAAGUCGAGCGGGCCCUUCGGGGUCAGCGGCGGACGGGUGAGUAACGCGUGGGAACGUGCCUUCUGGUUCGGAAUAACUCAGGGAAACUUGAGCUAAUACCGGAUACGCUCUUCUGGGGAAAGGUUUACUGCCGGAAGAUCGGCCCGCGUCUGAUUCGCUAGCUGGGGGGGUAACGGCCUACCAAGGCGACGAUCAGUAGCUGGUCUGAGAGGAUGCUCAGCCACACUGGGACUGGGACACGGCCCCGACUACUACGGGAGGCAGCAGUGGAGAAUAUUGGACAGUGGGCGCAAGCCUGAUCCAGCUAUGCCGGGUGAGUGAUGAAGGCCUUAGGGUUGUAAAGCUCUUUUAUCCGGGACGAUAAUGACGGUACCGGAGGAAUAAGCCCCGGCUAACUUCGUG
rnacentral:rRNA from 1 species